rnacentral:rRNA from 1 species
GACGAACGCUGGCGGCGUGCUUAACACAUGCAAGUCGAACGGAAAGGCCCUGCUUUUGUGGGGUGCUCGAGUGGCGAACGGGUGAGUAACACGUGAGUAACCUGCCCUUGACUUUGGGAUAACUUCAGGAAACUGGGGCUAAUACCGGAUAGGAGCUCCUGCUGCAUGGUGGGGGUUGGAAAGUUUCGGCGGUUGGGGAUGGACUCGCGGCUUAUCAGCUUGUUGGUGGGGUAGUGGCUUACCAAGGCUUUGACGGGUAGCCGGCCUGAGAGGGUGACCGGCCAAAUUGGGACUGAGAUACGGCCCGGACUCCUACGGGAGGGAGAAGUGGGGAAUAUUGCACAAUGGGCGGAAGCAUGAUGCAGCAACGCCGCGUGCGGGAUGACGGCCUUCGGGUUGUGAACCGCUUUCGCCUGUGACGAAGCGUGAGUGACGGUAAUGGGUAAAGAAGCACCGGCUAACUACGUG